CCCUCUCUACCAAUUCUUCUAGCAGACAUGUCAAGUUCUCAUUGUGUUAAAAAUCCACCCAACUUGAACUCAGGUUUCAAUGGAGUUGGGACUGUCCUUCAACUUGGAGGACUUCAAUCCUAUGUCACUGGUCCCCCUCAUUCUAAAUUGGCACUCAUCCUAAUUUCUGAUGUCUUUGGUGUUGUGGUUACAAAAUUAGCAGUCUCCAGUGACAUUAUUCAGGCUGCAGUUAUUUUACAUCCUGGUCCAAUCACAGAUAAAGAAUUUAAUGGUAAGCUUAUGUUGUUUAAUUGUCUAUUAAAAAAAUUAUUAUAACAGUUAUUACAACGUUAACUUUUUUCUUUCAGAUAUUAGGGUUCCUAUUGCUUUUUUUGGGAGCAGAAAUUGAUGAAAUUUUCCCAAAAGAAAAGUUGAAGCAAGUUGAAGAAUUAUUGUCUACAAAAGCAGAGAAAGCCUUGUGAAGUUGUACCUUGGCGCUACCCAUGGUUGGUCAACGAAGUAUAAUGUUGAAGAUGAAGUUGCAGUUAAGAAUGCAGAAGAAGCUCACGAGGACGUGUUGAAUUGGUUUAUCAAGUAUGUCAAUUGAGUGUCAAUUGAAUAUAAUAAUGAUGUAUACAUAGAAAGAAAUGCACACAAAUAAUAAAUGUAUUUUCUUAAUUUAUUAAAUACAA